AAGUCGUAACAAGGUUUCCGUAGGUGAACCUGCGGAAGGAUCAUUACAGAGCUUUGCCCUUACGGGUAGAUCUCCCACCCUUGAAUAAAUUACCUUUGUUGCUUUGGCAGGGCGCGCUCGCGCCGGAGGCUUCGGCUUUCGAGUCCCCGCCAGAGGACCCCAACUCUGUUUUUAGUGAUGUCUGAGUACUAUGUAAUAGUUAAAA
rnacentral:misc_RNA from 1 species